rnacentral:rRNA from 1 species
AACGCUGGCGGCGUGCCUAACACAUGCAAGUCGCACGAGAAAGGGACUUCGGUCCUGAGUAAAGUGGCGCACGGGUGAGUAACACGUGACUUAUCUACCCUCGAGUGGGGAAUAACCUAGGGAAACCUGGGCUAAUACCGCAUAACACUUACGAGUCAAAGCAGCAAUGCGCUUGGGGAGGAGGUCGCGGCAGAUUAGCUAGUUGGCGGGGUAAUGGCCCACCAAGGCGAUGAUCUGUAUCCGGCCUGAGAGGGCGCACGGACACACUGGAACUGAAACACGGUCCAGACUCCUACGGGAGGCAGCAGUGGGGAAUUUUGCGCAAUGGGGGAAACCCUGACGCAGCAACGCCGCGUGGAGGAUGAAGUCUCUUGGGACGUAAACUCCUUUCGAUAGGGANGUAUAAUGACGGAACCUAUAGAAGAAGGUCCCGGCAAAUC